rnacentral:rRNA from 1 species
CAGUAGCCACGGGAAUACGAAGGGUGCAAGCGUUAAUCGGAAUUACUGGGCGUAAAGCGUGCGUAGGUGGUGGUUUAAGUCCGUUGUGAAAGCCCUGGGCUCAACCUGGGAAUUGCAGUGGAUACUGGGUCACUAGAGUGUGGUAGAGGAUAGUGGAAUUUCCGGUGUAGCAGUGAAAUGCGUAGAGAUCGGAAGGAACAUCUGUGGCGAAGGCGACUAUCUGGGCCAACACUGACACUGAGGCACGAAAGCGUGGGGAGCAAACAGGAUUAGAGACCCGCGUAGUCCCUGUCUCUUAUAA